CGGCGGGGAGCGGCUACGGGGGGCUGACGGAUGGCUGUGGCCGGGAGAGCUCCGGCAGCCCGUGUGUGCUCUCGCUCCGUGCGCCUUCCCUCCGUGCUUUCCUUUCUUCUUUUUUUUCUUCAAAAUCUCCCUGGGAAUUUUGUCUUUUACAGCGUUUUCUUUUUUUUUCUCUCAUUUUUUUUUUUUUUCCCCUUCCUCUCCUCUCGUUGCUGCCGAGGAUACGUUCUGCUUGCCAAGUUUGUAGUGCCACCUCUCAGAUUCCCCCACUCCCCGCGUUUUGGAUCUGUACAGUGCCCGUUUGUAUGUAGGCAUACCGCGGGGUUUUUUUGCCUCUUUUUCAAGAAAAUUGGAAUUCUUUGGGAAGCAAAUGGAUACAGAGGAGGACGAUGCUAAAAAUCUCCUUUUGAAUCUUUAAAAAGAGGUUUACGAAGAAAUUGCUUAAAUUCAGCCAUCAAUUUAGCUUCAUGUUAAGCACCUCGAAGUAUUUAUGAUUGCAGAGCAGGUGCAAGCGAGGAUUAGUAAUAAGGUGAAAAAUGUGCCCAAGACAGAAUGAUUCCAGUACACAGAAAUGUCACAGGAUGAGCUGCUGCUGUGUGCUGUCAUCCCUGCCAUGGACACUUAGAUAUAGAUCCUCAUUGGGACCUGGAGACGUAAAUAGCUGCCUGUGGUGGGAUUGGCCUUUGCUCUGCUGGGAUGCACUCGCAGGUGAGGGCUGUGACACCAAACCCCACAGUGGGAUCCCACUGGUCUGGGAGUGUGAGUGGGUGUGCUGUGCUGGGCCGAUGUCUCUGUUGUGAAACAAGGUGGCUGUCAACACAACAAAAUAGGGGGUUUAACACAGUGUGGAAGGGGAUUCCUUCCUAAAACAACGGGAGACGUUGAUGAGCUCUCUCCAAGAGGCUUAACUCGGGAUGUUUAUAAUCUUUUAGUGUGUGGCUGUGUCUGUUCUUAAACAUGAAAAGACCUUUCAGCAUUCAAAUGCCUAUUUUCCCUUUCCUUCUGAUCUGGCCUUCCUCUCUCCCACAUACCAACUUUCAUUCUCUGCUGUGCUCCUAGAAAACACGAAGGACUGGAGAAUGAUUAUUCUCAAUUAAAGAUAAAAAUUAAGCAAUGAGAACCACAUUUUGAAAAAGAAAAGAAACAGCAGAAAGAAAUCACAUCAGCAGCCCCAUAUUUUGUGUGCGCUGACGGUCUGAGUAAGUAAGAGAUGGUUGCUUACUCAGUGAUGCCCGUGUGAAACAUCAGAGCGUUGCACGCGGCUGUAGCUCGGUGUG
rnacentral:lncRNA from 1 species